CAGCAGCCGCGGUAAUACGAGGGGGGCAAGCGUUGUUCGGAAUUACUGGGCGUAAAGGGCGCGUAGGCGGUGUACUAAGUUAGGCGUGAAAGCCCUGGGCUCAACCCGGGAAUUGCGCUUGAUACUGGUACGCUUGAAUCCAGGAGAGGUUGGUGGAAUUCCCAGUGUAGAGGUGAAAUUCGUAGAGAUUGGGAAGAACACCGGUGGCGAAGGCGGCCAACUGGACUGGUAUUGACGCUGAGGCGUGAAAGCGUGGGGAGCAAACAGGAUUAGAUACCCGCGUAGUCCCUGUCUCUUAUAA
rnacentral:rRNA from 1 species